CUUGAAUUGUGCUAAGGCAGUAGAUCUUAUGUAUCCUCACCACACGCACACAUGAAAGAAGGUGACAGAUGUAUAAAUUAGCUUGAUGUUGAUGAUCAUUUCACAAUGUACACAUUUAUCUAAUUAUCACAUUGUGCACCUUAAAUAUAUACUGAACAAUAUUUAUUGAUUGCACUUCAACAAAAAAUAAGACAAAAUUAUAUUUAAAAAAAAAAACAGACAAAAAACAAAGAUAUGCUGAAUUUAAUUAGUCUCUGGUUUUAUUUCUCCUACUCCUCUUCCCAAAGGCUCUGUGUUAGUGGAUUCACAAGCAACCUGUACUCCUCAAAGAAAGAUGAUAAGAUGAAGGAGAUCUCUAGAACCAGCAACUGGGGCUCUUCCUUCAGUGAAAAAAGUGGGUGUAUGCAGACUCAUCCAUCCAUGAAUCUAGAUUGCAGGGAUGUGACCUAUGUAAUGAACUUGCUACUUAUUGCUCAUCAUCAUCUUCUUCAAUGACAAAAAAGAAAAUAGUAACAAUGAAUACGUCUCUUGGGCAAAAUAAAUAAUGAGAUUGUUACAGCAACCUGAUUUUUGAAAAGAAAAAAGGAACUUCCUCGAACUAAAGCAGUUAAGACCUCGACAUUUGCUCAUAGAAAAAGUCGCUGAGUCGUUUCUAGUUGUGAAGGUGCAAAAGAUGCAGUUAUCCCUUAUGGAAAAUUCCAAGAACUUGUGCCUAAUUUGAGUCAUGCAAACCUGAGUUCUGCAUGACUGAGCUCUGUCACUCAAUGGUUGGGAAAUUUGUGAUCAUCUCUACGCCUUGCUUUCUGCAUCUGUAAAGUGGAAAUGAUAAUAUCUACCUUGUGUGAUUCCUGGAAGAAUUAAAUAC
rnacentral:lncRNA from 1 species